UACGUAGGGUGCGAGCGUUGUCCGGAAUUAUUGGGCGUAAAGAGCUCGUAGGCGGCCUGUCGCGUCGGAUGUGAAAGCCCGGGGCUUAACCCCGGGUCUGCAUUCGAUACGGGCAGGCUAGAGUGUGGUAGGGGAGAUCGGAAUUCCUGGUGUAGCGGUGAAAUGCGCAGAUAUCAGGAGGAACACCGGUGGCGAAGGCGGAUCUCUGGGCAUUAACUGACGCUGAGGAGCGAAAGCAUGGGGAGCGAACAGG
rnacentral:rRNA from 1 species